rnacentral:lncRNA from 1 species
UAGCCGCUGCCGAAGCCGAGACUCGCUGCUGCCGAAUGCCUCCACAACCUUCAGCCUUGUUGAACAGUAAGAACCAUGUAAAAUCUUCUCGUGACAAGACUCGCUUGCCGAAGCUGUUAGACACUGAAGCAGUGAGACAACGAACCCAACAUACAGCCUGCGUUAGGCUUCGCGACCCUCACUCUUGCUAUAGACCAAGGACCCAGAUCAAAGGAGCAAAUAAGGCCUCUAAAAAAGCUCCUAAACAACCCUUGCCGUUCGGCAAGGGCUGCGCUGCAGACUCGGUGCCCAUAGCUUGAAGAACCUCGGACCACCGUGAGACUUGGCCUAUGCUGCCGAAGCCGUGACAACACGAAACCAGAUCCGAAUCACUGCCCACUUCGUGGUUACCUCACCGAAGUCGAGGGUGUGCUUUAGCAGGCUGUAACCUCCUUUCGAACAGCAGCUCUUGAUUUCCAGCCCAGCUCCUCAAUGCCACGCAGCCCAGCUUCCUUCUAACUUAAAGAAAGCCGAGAAAAGCGCAAGGCUUGACCGUGCACAAACCUGGCGAUGUGGAAGAAGGUAAUGGCCAAAGUGACACAGCGUGAUGAAAGCUUCAUACGCAGUCCAAGCCAAACCCGAGCAAGACUCAUGCUAAAACACAAGGGCCCCGCCCCAUAAAUCCCUACUCGCCGAAGCUUAAAGACAUCAUGGGCUCACGAAAGCCCAAAUGUCCACAAGGUAACCAAAAAAAAAAAAAAAAGGCUAGGACCUUGCCGAACGGCAAGGACCAUGGAAGGAGAGGAGAGCCCCCAAAAUUUUCAAUAGCCUCAGCCUGCCGAAGGUCUAGCUCCCGAGCUCCCCAAAAAAAAAAAAAAAAAACCCCUACGGACCCAGCUCCCAAAAAAAAG